CAAGAAGCUGUUGCUCUUUGUCCAUUCAGUAAGAAGAAACAAGCAUGGCUCUCCCUUUGUCCUUUUCACCGAAGCUUGUGGAGUAGGAAAAAUGAAGAAAAAACGAGUCUCCAAAAAUGUAGCCUAGCGAGCCCCAGUCAUCUCAAGGGAGGCGCCUCGCCCUCCCCAGGAGUCCCGGAGACCAGGCUCUUCCAGAGGCCAGCCAGUUACCUGAAGGACAGAGGGACGACCAGCAGAGAGGCGCCCCCACGUUCUUGUGUGGCAACACCUAGGAGGAAGAAAGUUUCUCACAAGGUUCGAAGUUCACCGGGGUGUCCCAAAUUAGCGGGAGGAUUUCUUCUUCCUUGAAAAUUUCGGGUUUCCCCACAGCAACCACAGGAGCCAUGGAAUCUGCUGCCUGAGGGCUGUGGUGGGAACCUGAGUGAAGCUGGGAACUGAAGUCAUUUGGUUUCUAAUUGGUUUUUUAAAAAUUCCACUCAGAAAAAUCGUCUGGCUGUCUGCAGUUCACGGCAGCUUAGGAGAGGCUAGGCGGCUGGGCGCCGAGCUCGGGCCCACCCGGGGUGAGUCUCUGGCUCUCGGCAGGGAGAAGGUGUCCACGGGAUGUUGUGCACACCCAUGCCUGGACGAGGACGCCUGGGGAGCCCUGAACUGAACAAAACAAGGCAACCAGCAGCCAUGCCGGAGAAACCUCAGCAGCCCUCCCCAAGCCCAGCUGCCCCUGGUGGUCGAGUCGGGCACCCAGCCCCGGGUGACACCGGAUUAUACCGGCCCCUCCUCCGGCUGCCUGCUGAGCCCUAGCUCCUCCGUGAUGGUUCUCACCAGGCCCUGCGUGUUCUGAUUGAGCUGGGAAUUGCUGAUGACAACCCUUUCCUUGGUGCUGCCACCAGGAUCCUCACUCCUGCCCCUCCUGUGGCUCCCAGUAUGGAUGACCGGCCGAUCAGCUGGGCCCUGGAAGGACCAACAGUCUCCAGCCAACAGCCGAAUUGCCCAUCUGCUCACCAGCUACUCCCUGAGUACUGGAAUGUUCCAGGCCUAGGCAAGGCCAACACCAAACCAAACAGAAACCAGCAAGCAGCUGCAGGUGACAAGGCCACAGUGUUGGGAGGGGACUUCAGAAGCCAGUGGUCAGUAUCUGGGAGGGUGCCUUGUGCCUCUGGCCUGGAGAGGUGACCAAAGAGGCCUGUAAAAGAGCAUCUUAUCUCAGGCUGUUCCCCAAUUUCUGGCCUCCUUUUCAGUCAGUGUUUGUUGCUGUGUUGCUACAGAGACACUGCAACCCUGAACUCCUUUUCACUAAUAAGUAGAUUUCUUAUGCACAACCGUGAGCCAAACAUGCUAAUUUAUUUGGUCUCAUUUUCUCAAGUUAAA
rnacentral:lncRNA from 1 species